rnacentral:misc_RNA from 1 species
UGAUAUUCAGUUUAUUCAGAAUUUUUCAAUAAUCUAUUGCUCAAUUCAAAACGGUGACUUCACCAUAAAAUUCAGGAAUUACUGAAAAUUUGACCCAAUUACAACCCAUGAAGCAACAUACAAAUCAUCUACCAAAAUUCUACUCAAAAGUGAAAGAUCACUUCCUGAACUAUAAAAACUCAACUAUGCAUGAUCCAAAGAGGCAAAAACUCUGUACUUCUUCAAAUAAUAUAUAUCCUCUCUCAAGAAGCCAACAUUGAAACAAUACAAACCAAGAGAAUGAUCACCAUCACAGCCCAAACCCAAUAAACCCAGGCCUUCCUCUUCUCCUUCAUCUGCGUGGCAUAGUAAAGAUUGUUGGUUCCUCCACUGAGAAAGUUUCCUGCCUUUGCCACAUUUUCUUCAAUAUCAUCCAUCUUCUCUCCUUGUGUUUCAACAAUAACAGCCAUAUCAAGAAACACCUGGUGCAGCUUUGUCAAGCUUCUCUUUAUGUCCAUCAGAACCUCAUGCCUCUCUUUAUCAUUCACAUCUACCCCUGCUCCUGCAAAUUUUUGAACUUCCCCACCUCCCGAAAUGAUCUGUUCGAUGACUUCCUCGCUGGGUUCCUCUCCUGUUGCAGUAUAGUACCGUCUCUUGAAAUCAGCUUUGUAAUCUGAUAAAAUCCGCUCUCUCAGGAGCUGAAACUCGUUCAUCAUCUCCCUCAGUUUAACCCUCAUGCCAUUGGUGACUGAUAUCCUUGUCCUAUCAACAGGACUACCUUCUUUAUAUAGUUCUGAUAUCCUGCGAUUGUUUUCAUUGGAUCGAUCAAGUGACUCUAGCCUUGCUUUGAUAACCUUGGCCUUUCUAAGAACAGUAACAACGUCUGAUUUCAUUCUGUCUCUCAGGCCACGAAGAACUUUGGCACUAUGAGUGGACUUAGACUCUUGAUCAAGGGCAUUGAGAUCAAUCAAGAGAUUAGUGAUCUCUUCCAUUUCAGCCUUGAUUGCCGCAACUUCUCGGAAGAACUGAGAUAGGUUUGGUUCAUCUGCAGGGUUGAGACAGCCAGAUUCCACGUCAAGUUCGAGUUCAAAAUCCUUCUGGGCUUUCUUUUUCAGUUCCACAUAACUUAAGAACGAUUCUGUCAUUAAGUCAUUCAUCUUUGCAAAAAUUUUGCAAAAACCCUCCGUCAAAGCAGAUUCAAGAUGCUUGAGAUAUUACACAAAGUUCUCGAGUAACACUACACAAAAAGGAAAGAAUGGACGUCAGAUUCUGCAAAAACCAUGAAAUUGUCUGGUUUUAAAGAUGGUUUUGAAAUGAAAAGAAAAAAGAAAAAUCAACCCAUCGAUCUUGGGAAGUAAAAGGGUAUUCUGAAUCGCAAAUAAACCAAGAAAAUUCAGAAACAUACAAAGAGAGAACCUUGGAUAAACUGAUACCUCUGCUCUGUCUUUCUUCUGAUGCGUGAUUAAAGCCAAAGGAAAGAGUAUCAAUGGAUAAGGAACGCUUGAAAUUUGGAGUUUAAAGAGAGUGAGGAAUCGAAGGAGAUGGUCAGUUUUCUUAUAAGAGAGUUUUCAAAAGAAUUCAAAAUUCAGUUGCGCAGGAAUGGUAGCCGUUAAACUACGAAGCCGCUGCAACUCCCCAGAUUUGCUCGGUAACGCACCCUCCACGAAACGACAGCGUUUUACAGCGAAGAAAACAAAAAGGUAGAACCAUUUUACAUAUCAUGGUAAUAGUAUAUUUUAAAUUAAACCCAAUGCAUAAAUUGAUUAUUGAUUGUACUUGUGGUGUCAACUCAAAUUUUUAUUUCAACUUAGCAAAUAUUUUAACUUUUAUUUUUAUAUUUAUUAAAAACUAAGUUAUCUGGUUAACGAAUCAAGUCGAUCGGUACAUACGCAUAGACACAAAAGUGUUGACAUGGUUCUUUUGACAAUACUAAACAAGC